ACCUACUGUUUAAUUUUGAGGGUUCGUUUUUACGAAUACUCAAAAUUAGCACUUUAAGCAACAGAAUAAACUGAACGCAUGUGAAGUUUGUUUGUUGGUGCUGUGCGUUAGCACUUUAAGCAACGGAAUUUAUUCGUUGGCGCUGUGCUUUAGCACUUUGAAAACUGCAUAUAUAUUUAGUGAUAUGACAUCUAAUUUGUAAUAUAUAAAGCUGAUAACUUUUUAAAAUUAUCGAAGUUGAUAGCUUCUAAUCUAUCAAACCUUUUUAACUGGUCAA
rnacentral:misc_RNA from 1 species